rnacentral:rRNA from 1 species
UACGUAGGGGGGCUAGCGUUGUCCGGAAUCAUUGGGCGUAAAGCGCGUGUAGGCGGUUCGGCAAGUCUCUAGUGAAAUCUCAGGGCUCAACUCUGAGUCUGCUGGGGGAAACUGCAGAGCUUGAGUGCCGGAGAGGGUGGCGGAAUUCCCCCAAGUAGAGGUGAAAUUCGUAGAUAUGGGGGAGGAACACCGGUGGCGAAGGCGGCCACCUGGACGGUAACUGACGCUGAGACGCGAAAGCGUGGGGAGCAAACAGG